rnacentral:rRNA from 1 species
UACAGAGGGUGCAAGCGUUGUUCGGAAUUAUUGGGCGUAAAGGGCUCGUAGGCGGUUUGUCACGUCGGGAGUGAAAACUCGGGGCUCAACCCCGAGCCUGCUUCCGAUACGGGCAGACUAGAGGUAUGCAGGGGAGAAUGGAAUUCCUGGUGUAGCGGUGAAAUGCGCAGAUAUCAGGAGGAACACCGGUGGCGAAGGCGGUUCUCUGGGCAUUACCUGACGCUGAGGAGCGAAAGUGUGGGGAGCGAACAGG